AUGCAAGUCGAGCGGACAGAAGGGAGCUUGCUCCCGGAUGUUAGCGGCGGACGGGUGAGUAACACGUGGGUAACCUGCCUGUAAGACUGGGAUAACUCCGGGAAACCGGAGCUAAUACCGGAUAGUUCCUUGAACCGCAUGGUUCAAGGAUGAAAGACGGUUUCGGCUGUCACUUACAGAUGGACCCGCGGCGCAUUAGCUAGUUGGUGAGGUAACGGCUCACCAAGGCGACGAUGCGUAGCCGACCUGAGAGGGUGAUCGGCCACACUGGGACUGAGACACGGCCCAGACUCCUACGGGAGGCAGCAGUAGGGAAUCUUCCGCAAUGGACGAAAGUCUGACGGAGCAACGCCGCGUGAGUGAUGAAGGUUUUCGGAUCGUAAAGCUCUGUUGUUAGGGAAGAACAAGUGCAAGAGUAACUGCUUGCACCUUGACGGUACCUAACCAGAAAGCCACGGCUAACUACGUGCCAGCAGCCGCGGUAAUACGUAGGUGGCAAGCGUUGUCCGGAAUUAUUGGGCGUAAAGGGCUCGCAGGCGGUUUCUUAAGUCUGAUGUGAAAGCCCCCGGCUCAACCGGGGAGGGUCAUUGGAAACUGGGAAACUUGAGUGCAGAAGAGGAGAGUGGAAUUCCACGUGUAGCGGUGAAAUGCGUAGAGAUGUGGAGGAACACCAGUGGCGAAGGCGACUCUCUGGUCUGUAACUGACGCUGACGAGCGAAAGCGUGGGGAGCGAACAGGAUUAGAUACCUUGGGUAGUCCACGCCGUAAACGAUGAGUG
rnacentral:rRNA from 1 species